rnacentral:rRNA from 1 species
UACGAAGGGGGGCUAGCGUUGUUCGGAAUUACUGGGCGUAAAGCGCACGUAGGCGGACAUUUAAGUCAGGGGUGAAAUCCCGGGGCUCAACCUCGGAACUGCCUUUGAUACUGGGUGUCUAGAGUAUGGAAGAGGUAAGUGGAAAUUGCGAGUGUAGAGGUGAAAUUCGUAGAUAUUUCGCAGGAACACCAGUGGCGAAGGCGGCUUACUGGUCCAUUCUGACGCUGAGGUGCGAAAACGUGGGGGACAAACAGGG